CAGCCGCCACGGGAAUACGAAGGGUGCAAGCGUUACUCGGAAUUACUGGGCGUAAAGCGUGCGUAGGUGGUGGUUUAAGUCCGUUGUGAAAGCCCUGGGCUCAACCUGGGAAUUGCAGUGGAUACUGGAUCACUAGAGUGUGGUAGAGGAUAGUGGAAUUCCCGGUGUAGCGGUGAAAUGCGUAGAGAUCGGGAGGAACAUCAGUGGCGAAGGCGGCCAUCUGGGACAACACUGACGCUGAGGCACGAAAGCGUGGGGAGCAAACAGGAUUAGAUACCCCCGUAGUCCCUGUCUCUUAUAC
rnacentral:rRNA from 1 species